rnacentral:lncRNA from 1 species
GUUUACUUGUUAAAGCUGACGUUGGGAAUAGAAAUGAAGUGUUGGGAUCCAUACAAAAUCAGGUUGAGUUCUGCUAUUUACCCCGGGUCAAAUUCCGGGUCAAACCCCGAAAAUUAAAACAAAACGACGUCGUUUUCUCUUCUUCAUGAAACGCUACCGUUUCACCCUAGCAAAAGCAAACGUUCCUCUCUUCGUUUUUGUCUCUCUCUCUCUCUCUUGCUCUGUGUCUCCUAAAAAAGCAAAGCAUAGCAACAAACAAAAUCAGAGAGGAGAGAGAGACCUCUCGGAGCUUUAAAACAAAAAAAUAAAAACAAGCUCUCUGUAUCAUCAAUCGACUGCAAAAGCAUAGAUUCUUAGUUGAGAUUCGAACUGUUCAACCGCGGAUUGGAUAACGAGAAGGGGAAUCCGCUUUUCACAUUCUCCUUUCUUUCUCCUCUUCGUUUUCGUCUUCCCCUCUUUGUUUUCUCGUCUUCGUUUUCGUCUGCAAUUUGUGCUUGAAUUGGUCUAGAAUUUGUGCUGAUUUGGUCUGCAAUUUGUGCUUGAAUUUGUCUGGAAUUUGUGCUUGAGUUGGUCUGCAAUUUGUGCUUGAUUUGGUCUGGAAAUUGUGCUGAUUUGGUCUGGAAUUUGAGCUGAUUUGGUCUGCAAAAAAUACAGCGUUCACUCAACGGCGGGACAAGGUUUCUUGGAAUGCUGUGUUGACUGGCUAUGCUCGUCGUGUUCAGAGUGAAGAAGCUAUGACAUCUUUCUCAGAGAUGCAAUGGGAGACAAGACCUUGUAAAUUUACAUUUGAAACUCUUUUUGGCAGCAUGUGCAAACAUUUCUUCUCUUGAGCAAGGCAAACAAAUUCAUUGUUUCAUGAUUAGAAAUUGUUACAAGAUAAAUGUUGUAUGCAGAGGAGCUUUAGUUGAGGUGUACACUAAAUGCCGUUGUCUUGAGUAUGCAAUACGGGUUUUCAAGGAGUCAUCUUCAUUGGAUGUGAUUAUUUGCAACUCUAUGAUUUUGGGAUUUUGUCAUAACGAAAGGGGCAGAGAAGCACUUGAAUUUUUUCUGCCUUAGUUUGUUUUGUUUUUACUAGCUCAAACGACUACGUUUCAUGCAAGUAAAAAAAAAAAAACAAAACAAAAACGACGCCGUUUUGAAAUAAUUCGGGAUUUGACCCAGGGUUUGACCCGGGGAAAGUAUCAUUUUCCAAUCAGGUUUGAUUAUUGGAGUUCUGAUUUCAGCGGGGAUUUGGGAAUCAGAAGCCCAUUCCCGCGAAUGACAAAAUUAUCCCCAUUAUAUUUUUUAUUUUACUAAAAUACCCUCUUUACAAUUAAAUAAUAAAAAUUGAAAAAAAUGAAAAACCCACGAAAUCCUUAACCCAGCGGCCAACUGACCCACUCGUCGUCUAUCAUCUGGAACCAAAGAAACGAUCGGCGGCAGCACCUUCGCCAGUUGCAGGCCAUCUCUGUUGCUUGUCAUCGGUCGGAUGUCGCCGCUGUCAAUGUUCAGGCUCUCCGUCGUCGUCGAAGAACAAUUGAAUUAUGAUGAUUAUUGAUGGUAAGAUUGGUG